rfam:Gorilla gorilla gorilla genomic chromosome, chr18, whole genome shotgun sequence
GUGGUCACUUCGGAGGCACAUAUAUUAAAAUUGUAAUGAUACAGAGAAGAUUAGCAUGGCCUCUGCACAACGAUGACACGCACGUUUGUGAAGUUUUCCUAUUUUUC